rnacentral:misc_RNA from 1 species
GAAAUGCGAUAAGUAGUGUGAAUUGCAGAAUUCAGUGAAUCAUCGAAUCUUUGAACGCACAUUGCGCUUCCGGGUAUUCCUGGAAGCAUGCCUGCUUAAGUUCAGCGGGUAUCUUGAAAUAAAUGGUUUGGCUGAGACUCUAAGAUCCAUAGGCCGACAAGCGCGACAAGAACUGAAGGGUCCUUGGACCUGCUAAGUUUCAAUCCGCUAAUGCGACUUCUGGUAUUAAGCUUAGGGCUCAUCGCCUUCUCAACUUUACGUGGUUAGGCCUAAACGGUUUAAUCCAAACUUGAUCUCAAAUCAGGCAAGACUACCCGCUGAACUUAA